CUAAACCCAAUGUGAGUUUUUUCUAUUUUGACUUACUCCCCCGCCACGAGCGAACGGGAAUGGAUAAGGAGAAGUUGAUAACCAACUUCUAGGAGAGACAUAAUUAACUGCAUUGAUCUCGGUAGCUACGCCACCCACGGAAUUUAAAGAGCCUAAAGGAGCGUGGGUCUUAACGUUAAUGGCGAGGUUCAAAAGAGGAAAGGCUUGCGGUGGAUACCUAGGCACCCAGAGACGAGGAAGGGCGUAGCAAGCGACGAAAUGCUUCGGGGAGUUGAAAAUAAGCAU
rnacentral:rRNA from 1 species